GACAUAGGUGGCGAACGUUAUCCGGAAUUAUUGGGCGUAAAGGGUGCGUAGAUGGUUUUAAAAGUUACUAGUAGAAAACUAAGGCCCAACCUUAGGAAAGCUAGUAAUACUAUAAGGCUAGAGUGCAGGAGAAGUUAACGGAAUUCCUUGUGGAGCGGUGAAAUGCUUAGAUAUAAGGAAGAACAUCAAUGGCGAAGGCAGUUAACUAUUCUGUUUCUGACAUUGAGGCACGAAAGCGUGGGGAGCAAAACGG
rnacentral:rRNA from 1 species